rfam:Candidatus Rokubacteria bacterium 13_2_20CM_69_15_1 13_2_20cm_scaffold_2542, whole genome shotgun sequence.
GGGCCCAUAGCUCAAUGGCAGAGCAGCCGGCUCAUAACCGGUUAGAUCUUGGUUCGAGUCCAGGUGGGCCCA